UAGGGAAUAUUGGACAAUGGGUGCAAGCCUGAUCCAGCCAUGCCGCGUGCAGGAAGAAGGCCUUCUGGGUUGUAAACUGCUUUUACCAGGGGAUAAAAAGCCCAUGCGUGGGAAAUUGAAGGUACCUGGUGAAUAAGCCACGGCUAACUACGUGCCAGCAGCCGCGGUAAUACGUAGGUGGCAAGCGUUGUCCGGAUUUAUUGGGUUUAAAGGGUGCGUAGGCGGCCUAUUAAGUCAGUGCUGAAAUAUCCCGGCUUAACCGGGAGGGUGGCAUUGAUACUGAUGGGCUUGAGUAGAGUUGAGGUUGGCGGAAUUGACGGUGUAGCGGUGAAAUGCUUAGAUAUCGUCAAGAACACCUAUUGCGAAGGCAGCUAACUAAGCUCAAACUGACGCUGAGGCACGAAAGUGUGGGGAUCAAACAGGAUUAGAUACCCUGGUAGUCCACACUGUAAACGUUGAUUACUCGCUGUUUGCGAUACACUGCAAGCGGCUUAGCGAAAGCGAUAAGUAAUCCACCUGGGGAGUACGCCGGCAACGGUGA
rnacentral:rRNA from 1 species